AGCUUUCGGAUUUUAUUUCUCACUCUAUGGGUGUCAGAAAAAUAUGAAACCUUAAAUCUAGCCUCAUAAAAAUAUUUCUGACAUCUCCGCCAAUUUUCAUAAUUUUCUGAGACUGUGCAUUUUCUGCUUAUUUUUCUGUCCCGUCUCCAACAGAAAAUUCUAGAUCUUCUGUUUUAAUUCCGAUUUCAGCACAAGUCACCUCUGACUUAUGUUUUACCUCUGUAAAUCUAAUAAAAAUAGUUUCUCACACUAUUUUUAUUUAUUAUUAUUUUUAUACCAAAAUCUGGUAUAUUACAUUCUCCACCCCUUAAAAAGAAUUUCGUCCGCGAAAUUCAAAACACACCUCAAUUCAGCUCCUCGAGCAAUUGAGGGCAUCAAUGCACUUUUUCACUUCGGAAUGGCUUUACACUUCUUGGAACUAUCCAAGAGAACUAUCCAAUAGGACUACUACGGAGCUCAUGAUACCAAACGCAUCCAACUUUGCAAGGCACAUCUCACAAAGUGCAUUACGGUCUCCGUCACUCUAGGGGGUAGCGCAAGUCGAAACUCGACGACUCUAUGCGCUCUAACACCACCUGCCACUCGACACACAAAGAACUUUUCUUUGCAUUGACUUCCCCUUCAAGGAAUGCAUUCCAAAUCAAUCACCGACAUCGCCUAAAAGCAAUAUCAUCGGUGCAUCGCUUCAUCAUAAGUGCUCUAAUUCCGCACUAAACUUUAACUUUGACGAGAGAUGGCCCACCUCGGCGCAUCCCAAUUCCAAUCCUCGAACUCCAUGUGGCUUGCCAUUAGCUCGAGGUUUCACCAAGAGCACUUCAUCACCUGAUACCAUAUGCCACGGUCAACAUCACAUUACUUUCGCAACAACUCACACGAACACUUCGUUCGUGAAUUCGAGUUAGACUCCUCGAUAAGGCUAUCCGCCAAACCGCUCUCUUCGGUCUCCACAGGUGGACCAAAGGCCACCAAUCCUACGUAGGCCUACCGCCUAACCUUUCUCAAUACGCAGCGUCUCUCGCUCGCAAUGCAGACCCAAUCAUCAUUGGGGCGAAAUUCUCACUUGGGAAUUCGCACACACUCCAACCAGGAGCAACUAAGAUCCNUAUCUAUCUAUCUCUCUAUCUGUGCCAGCUUAGACCUAGUGGGAAAACCGGCGGCGUCGGCGGCCGAACCCACUGGGAACUAUAUUUAUAUAGUUCUCACCCCGUGUGGUUUUGGGGUACAGGUACACAUAGAGGCGAGCCGAGCGAGGACCGCGGCAAGGGCAUAGCGCCCUAAGUGAGCCUAGUUAGUAGCUUUUCCUUAUGCAUUAGAGUACCCUCGUGUACUAGUUGAUAUUUUGGAUAGAUAUCAGAGAGCUACUUGUAUUUUGAAGAAAACAUGUACUUACAUUUUGGAAGAUGAAAAUAUAAUAUGUUCAAAUAAUGUAAAUGUUGAACGAUUGUGAUAGUUAGACUAUCUCUCUUUAUACACUUGUAUAUCACUUGUGGUUCUUGCUCUUAGAUGUAUUGCACUUGUGUGCAUCGUAUUUGAUCAUGUAUGUUAUUUAAGCAAAUUUCCUGGGUGCUUAAUUGUACAUGAUCUGGUUGCUUGGCCUUGGGCGGACAGCAGAGGUACUGUCCGUUCGGCGGUCCGUCUGAUGUGCCCGAACCGUGCCAAAUUGGUAGUGGAUUCGAGGCGGGGCGUGACAAACACCACCUGCCACUCGACACACAAAGAACUUUUCUUUGCAUUGACUCCCCCUUCAGGGAAUACAUUCCUAUUCGAUCACCGACAUUGCUUAAAAGCGAUAUCACCGGUGCAUCGCUUCGUCGUGAGUGCUCUAAUUUCGCACAGACCCUUAACUUUAUCGUGAGGUGGCCCACCUCGGCGCAUCCCAAUUCCAAUCCUCAAACUCCACGUGGCUUGCCACUAGCUCAAGGCCUCACAAAGAGCACUUCAUCUUCUGAUACCAUAUGCCACGGUCAACAUUGAACUAAUUUCGCAUCGAGCUCACACGAACGCUUCAUUCGUGGAUUCGAGUUAGACUCCUCGAUAAGGCUAUCCGCCAAACCGCUCUCUUCGGUCUCCACAGGUGGACCAAAGGCCACCAAUCCUACGUAAGCCUACCGCCUAACCUUUCUCAAUACGCAGCGUCUCUCGCUCGCAAUGCAGACCCAAUCAUCAUUGGGGCGAAAUUCUCACUUGGAAAUUCGCACACACUCCAACCAGGAGCAACUAAGAUCCCAAACCGUUACAGAUUCCCGGGUUGGGUCACACUCGCACUCUCAGUAUACUAUCAAUCGCACUACAUGCUCUAUAGCACAAUACGUACCACUAUCGGCUCCUAUGCACCUAGUGCGAGCCACCAGCCCCACGAGUGAUCCGUGGCACGCUUCACACCUAGCAAUGCUCAGGUGCUACUGCCAACACACUCAUCCGGCUAAACUAAAUCCGCACUCCACGAGUAACUAUACUCGUAUAUCGCACGCCUCUAAAGCGCUCCACACUAUGUCCAGCAUUAGGCAACUCUUGCCUAUGCACACCGGCCACACAAGCAUGGCUCACCUACCUCGAUUCAAGGUACUAUUAGGCAAAAGCGCCAAUAGUUGGCAACAAACCGUUCCAUCGGAGCAACAUCCGGAAUACUCGAACCAUUCGAGUGUCCACAAGUGUCACGUCACAACUCUCGCAAUCAGCUAUACAUUGCUCUGCGAGUUAGUCCGUCACUCCCAUCUCUACUGUGAAUCUCAUCAUUAGACCAUCACUAGCAACUCGCUAGUGCCACCCAGUUCUCUACCUGCACCGGCAGGUGCAACGCUUUCACCACAUAAGCGUGCCCGGGUAUUUACAUUUAUCCGCUCACUUGGACCCUACUAUGCUACUACAUAAAUAGUAGUAAUUAAUUACAUGCUCAACGCUACAAUGCACCAACUUUACAUUAUGCAGAAACACAUAACUGCAUUAAUGGCUCAUACCUGCCAUGACGUUGUCAGCAGCAGGUUCCAUAUCCCGGACAUAGUUCACGAUAGGGAGAAUUCCCGUUCGUACUCUCUAACUGAGCGGUCUCCUUGCCGCAGCUUCCUGAACUUGUCCUGAAGCUUUCUCUUUUCACUAUCGGGAGAAGUAAGUAGAAGAUACCAAUCCCCAAAACUCAUCCCAUGCCAUGGAGGAAUACUAGGC
rnacentral:lncRNA from 1 species